CAGAUACUUACGGUGGAAUUCAUAGUCGUAGUAGGGGGCCCCUAAGGGGAUUAUUCAGCCGCUAUGUGUCGAAUUCAACCCCUACGCGUUUCAUAGACAAAAGAAACCCCUCAUUUGACAGGAGCUGGCGGCUGACUGCUGAAUUACCGAUAUUUGUCAGCCAAACCAUCCCCUGGCAUUUUUUUUUGUUGUUAUUCGUGAUUUAUUUAUUAGAAAGUGGACGUUCGGAUCGUUAUAAGUGAAGUUAUAAACAGCGAGUUAUAUCAGUGCCCAAGAUAUAUAUUCGCAAUUGCGUAAACCCAGUAUAAUACUAUGGCGAUAUGGAAUGUACGAAAGAUUCUCAUAUUAGGCAUAAUAUGCCUCUGUUUGAUGAAGAAUGAACACAGAAGACCAAGAGAGGAAUACCAAUACCGCUAGUAUUAUACAUUCUAGCAGCACUUCGAUUCUAUAACGGGAUGUUAUCAGACUGUAGGUGCAGUCCAUCAAGCAUUCUAUGAAAUAACUUAAAUGCCAAAAGUCGUUACAUAGGUAUACAUAUAAACAACCCCGAAGGACCCUAUACACAGAUUUAAAGAAACCGGCUAUCAUGGCAGGGAAUAGCAGUGAUGAGCUCUGAGAAUACUGUUUUACCAAGAAUACUGAGAAUACUUUGGUUCUUGAAAAUCUCAGUAAUUGGAAGACCCUCAUACCUUGAAAAGUCAGCAGCAUUUAAUAUCGAAGUAGUAGGAGUGAGUGCAGUGUAUUGUAAGGUGGUCACUCACUCUUGAAGGUCCAUAACAAUAAAAAAUAUAUACAAAUCUUAAUUGAAUGAAUGAUGGAAAAUAAAAAGUUAUUGAUUCACAUCUUUAAUAAAGAUAAUUAUUAAAUGUUUA